CACUGUGGAAGGUAGCUACUUUAGCAUCCCCGNNNNNNAUGAAUUCAACUCCCAUGGUGUGACGGGCGGUGAGUACAAGACCCGGGAACGUAUUCACCGUGACAUUGCUGAUUCACGAUUACUAGCGAUUCCAACUUCAAGCAGUCGAGUUGCAGACUGCUAUCCGAACUGGGAGAUAUUUUAAAGAUUUGCUCCACCUCGCGGUAUCGCGGCUCUCUGUAUACCCCAUUGUAGCACGUGUGUAGCCCUGGCCGUAAGGGCCAUGAUGACUUGACGUCGUCCUCACCUUCCUCCUGGUUACCCAGGCAGUCUGUCUAGAGUCCUCAGCCGAACUGUUAGUAACUAGACACGAGGGUUGCGCUCGUUGCGGGACUUAACCCAACAUCUCACGACACGAGCUGACGACAGCCGUGCAGCACCUGUAUAGCAGUUCUAGUAAACUAGCACCAAUAUAUCUCUAUUAUGUUCUGCUUAUGUCAAGGCCAGGUAAGGUUCUUCGCGUAUCGUCGAAUUAAACCACAUGCUCCACCGCUUGUGCGGGUCCCCGUCUAUUCCUUUGAGUUUUAAUCUUGCGACCGUACUCCCCAGGCGGCACACUUAAUGUGUUAACUGCAUUACUGCUAUGUCUAGCAUAGCAACAACUAGUGUGCAUCGUUUAGGGCGUGGACUACCAGGGUAUCUAAUCCUGUUUGCUCCCCACGCUUUCGCAUCUUAGCGUCAGUAAUGUUCCAGUAGAUCGCCUUCGCAAUCGGUAUUCCUUCUGAUCUCUACGGAUUUUACCCCUACACCAGAAAUUCCAU
rnacentral:rRNA from 1 species